GCUUCUGGUUGGGGUAUGAAGAAUUGCCUGGUGCUGGCUGGUUCUAGGUUUCAGUUUCAAAUUGGAUUGCAAGGCUGUGGACCAUACAUGGCAAUGUACAUUCAUGUGACAAGUAUGUAAAACGGUACUUCUGUGUCAUGCACAAAGUCUCUGUGGUCAGGCUUACAUUGCUGGAACAGGUGGCUCACCGUCUGUUAGUAAAGUCCAUUCAUAGCAAAUGUAUUCCAGAUUCUCAUUAGCAUACGUUGCAUUGUUUUCAUAGCAAACGCUCAUAAUAUUCUCUAAAUGUUAUCUUCAGUUUGGCCACUUGCUUCAUACUUGCACUCAAAAAACCCCUCAAGAGUUGAAAGGUAGACAGAAGGGGAGGGGUACAGAAAAUCAAAUUCCUCAGCAAGCCCUUUCAGGCUCCUGUUUUUAUCUCUCUUUCCCCACCAUCACUUACAUAACUCUUAUCAGCAUUGUACCUGAGAGCUACAUGUUGAGCAAAGGUGGGGGCUUCAAUUAAAGUGAGACAAAGAAAAAUUGAUUUUAGGAGCCCAAAGAAAAAUGAACACAAGAAGCAAUUUCAUUCUAUAUUUUUUUGUCUUCAGGGGUUGAGAAAUUGCUGACUCUGAUGGAAAACCUCAAGGCAACUAAUGUUUGUAAGGGCCUCUCUGAAACAUUACUGGGGUGAACUUUCAUUCGGAGAAGUUAUCAAAUGCAAAAACCCAUCAUUUCGAUACAGCUUUCUUGCUCCUGCCUCAACGUCAUCCUACUUUGGACCUCCUCUCUCAUGCUCACUUGUGUACACACACGCACAGACACUUUCACAGCACAGCAGGCUGGUGCUGGGGCUGGUGAACAGCUGCACAGGCUCUGAAGUAGACAGACAGAUGAGGCCUGUGCUAACACCCUGGACCUAAACAUCCUGAAAACCUGAAAGCAACAACUGGACGUGGCUGUGAACAACGCAUCUUUGGGACAAAACGUAUAGAAAUGUCCCUGCUCCCUAGUUCGUCAGCCAAGGGCAGAAAUCUCUUUCUCUGCCGGUAUCUUCCCACGGUUAAAAAGUGUCUCACCCAAGGCCGGAAUUAGGGUGCUGAGCCCUGCACAUCCUGUGUGAGCCUUACGUGCUGGGAAGCCGCCCAUUACAGACAGCGCCGUUGCCUUCCUGCCUUCCUUGCAGAACCUCCCAACUAUGCAUCCUGAGCCUUUUCUUUUUAAUUCUCUUGGAUUUAACACAGAUCCCCUUUAGAGCAAGAAAGGAGCAGAAAGAAAGGUGCGGUCCGUUACUCACCGAGCAAGCUGCUGAGGCCUCUCUGACAAGCUACCGGUUUUGUUUUCUUCCGCUACCACCCCAAGUCAACCAUCCCCUGUUAAUUAGCAUGCCCUUUAUCUCCCCUUUGCAUGCUGUGGCACUCCUCCCUCCAAGGGAAAUGAAUGAAAGGAAACCCCAACUUGCUGUUAAGUUACAACUUCCCGCGCCAAUAAUGUGGGCUGAGACAGACAUACGUUAUCGGUUUCUCCUGUGUCAGGGCUCAUUGCUGUUCAUCCACAAAGAGCCGUAGAAGUGAAGGUCUUACCUGUGUUUGCGAUGGGAGCCCAGAGGUAGACGCACCAAAUCACUGAUCUUCUCCCCAACCUCUGUUAAGCUUCAAGGCAGAAAGAGAAGGUUGGAUAUUGGGUUAUGGGGCAUUAACUGACAUCUUCAUUCCAGCGACUUCAUUGUGCUGCCAUUUUUUUUUUUUUUAAUAAAACAGGAAAUGUGCUAAGCCACAAUGCUUAUCCCCAGUUCCUGUCUCGUUAGUCUGUGACAUGGUACAGAAAGCUAGCAGGCAACUUGAAGCCCAGUUCAGUAUGGUGGUUUGGGUAUCUUGAGAUGUAAGAAGUCUGGACUUUUGCUAUCACCAGCCACCGUUAUCCCUCACUGCACAUGGAAGCGGUGCAUGGAUCCAGGAAGCUAUGCCCACAGCACAGCAGGUCUUUUAUUAUGCUUGCUGAUUCCUGCCAAUUCCAAGGGGCCUGGGGUUAGGUAAUUCCACCCAGGGUAUAAGAGCAGUUGGUGUGAAUGGAGCAGCCCUGGAAGAAAUCCCUCGGACAAGCUUAGCUCGGGUGACAUGGCUCAGCUCUGUGUUACAUUGCUUCCAUUUUAUCUGCCGAUGAAACAGCUGCCUUGGGAAGAGGGAGGUGUUUGUACGCUAAUCCAGUGUACAGGUGCAUGUGUAUGCUGUGCUAGAACAUGGCAAAGAUGCAGCACUUGUAGGGUACAUUUGUGUGAUUAACCAUUUGGCCGUUAAUGAAAGAAUGCCUUCAAAAAGGUCCUGAUGCAAAGCUCCUUGAAUUCAGUGGAAAGAACCUAACUAACCUGAAUUGGGCCCGAAAAGAAUAAACAAGUCUCUUUCAGAUUUCUGUAUUUCAGGUAGACUCCCCUUCAGUUCUUCAUGUGUCCUUGGAAAAUACUUUAUUAUGCCAGCUUAGCUUUAAUUUACACCUUGUCUCAAUUUCUCCUCUUCUUUUAUUUUUUUUUUAAACUCCAACUGAGAUGUUAUAAAAUGUAAACAGCAGAGACAAAAAGAACAUGCACAUGGCAUGUGAUCCAAUACCAUAGUUAAUGAUGCUGUUUAGAUACUUAGCGCUGUUGAGUUU